UGUGUUAUCAUACCAAAAGAAGAAGAAAAAAGAGCGCGUCGGCAAGAGGUAUCGCAUUUCACAUGCUGCUCCUGCGAAAGGAGAAGCUGUCCACGAUGCAUUCACGUGAUCCUUCCUUCCCUUGAAAUAAAACAAAAAUGAAGGGUCUUAUAAGCUAGCUGUCGACGACUGAGACCGAUCAGACCUUCAUCGACGACGCAACUUUGAAAGGAUAUUGCUUCUGUACAAGGAUGAAGUCAAGCAAGACUCUGGUAAUUUGUAACAUAUCUUUCGUUAGUUGAAUAAAAGAGUAGUAAAAUAAUGUGCUGAAAUAAAAAAGGAAUAUAUACA